rnacentral:rRNA from 1 species
UCUGGUGAUGAUGGCAUAGAGGAAACACUCCUUCCCAUACCGAACAGGAAAGUUAAGCUCUAUAGCGCCAAUGGUACUGCAUGGGAGACUGUGUGGGUUCCCCGGUAGGUCACCAAAG